rnacentral:rRNA from 1 species
GACGAACGCUGGCGGCGUGCUUAACACAUGCAAGUCGAACGGAAAGGCCCUUCGGGGUACACGAGUGGCGAACGGGUGAGUAACACGUGGGUGAUCUGCCCUGCACUUCGGGAUAAGCCUGGGAAACUGGGUCUAAUACCGGAUAGGACCACUGCCUGCAUGGGUGGUGGUGGAAAGCUUUUGCGGUGUGGGAUGGGCCCGCGGCCUAUCUGCUUGUGGGUGGGGUGAUGGCCUACCAAGGCGACGACGGGUAGCCGGCCUGAGAGGGUGACCGGCCACACUGGGACUGAGCUACGGCCGAGAGUCCUACGGGAGGCAGCAGUGGGGAAUAUUGCACAAUGGGCGCAAGCCUGAUGCAGCGACGCCGCGUGAGGGAUGACGGCCUUCGGGUUGUAAACCUCUUUCAGCACCGACGAAGCGCAAGUGACGGUAGGUGCAGAAGAAGGACCGGCCAACUACGUGCCAGCAGCCGCAGUAA